rnacentral:misc_RNA from 1 species
GGAAGGAUCAUUCAUGUGAAUUGAAACUCUUCAAACCUUUGUGUUAACUAUUAGUUACUUGUGCCCAGGUUCUGUGUUUUUCUUUUGUUGGCUGCGUUUUCUUCCAUCGCACACUAUUUUCAAGGCACUUUAAAAAAAUGGCUAGAGAAUAGGAAAAGGAAUGAUAAAUGCUACCUAUUAAACCUUAACCUUUUUAAACUCAAACCAAAACUUUACCAUAAAAACACCUAAAACUUAUUACAACUUUUAACGAUGGAUCCCUCGGCUCUCACUUCGAUGAAGAACGCAGCGAAUUGCGAUAAGUAAUGUGACUUGCGCACUCUCGUGAAUCAUCAAAAUUUUGAACGCAUAUUGCACCUACUGGUUAAUCCGGUAGGUAUACCUAUUUCAGCGUCAUUUUGACACUCUCACCCUUUGAAAAAAGGGUGGAUUUGAGGCUUUUGUCUGCAAGGACAAUGUCUUUAAAUAUAGGUGUGCUUUUAAUCUAGUCUUCAAAGUUGUUCUUUCUUUGGUGUUGCUUUCAGGCCUUAAGCUCUCUUUCCCUUUCUUUAAACAAGAUGGGGAAAAGGGUAGUUUUAGGCGCCGUUUAGUUGCAAAGCUUGCGAUAAGCCUGUUGUCGAGUUUUAUGCAAGAAGAGAAAGAAAUGCCUUUAGGAUAUAAAGCAAAACGAAGCGAUUUAUUGAUUGUUAAUUUGGUCAAUAUUCCUCGCCUGACUUUUGUGAUUGCUUCUAGAGUGACACUCUUCUUGCUGGGCAAAGUAGGAAUGUCAAUAGUGGAGGACUUUACGGUUUGAGCAGCAAUAGAUUCUAUGGCACCUUAAAAGCUUUCAUAUAGGAGGAAUACAAUUUUUUCAACUAUAUGACCUGAAAUUAGGUAUGAGGACCCGCUGAACUUAAGCAUAUCAAUAAGCGGAGGAAAAGAAAGUAACGACGAUUCCCUUAGUAGCGGCGAGCGAACUGGGAAAAGCUCAACUUUAAAAUCUGGGCAUUUCAUGCUCCGAAUUGUAGUUUGUGGAAACAUUCUCUGGGCUUGGCUGGCCGGUAAAGACCUCUGGAAUGAGGCACCAUAGAGGGUGAUAGUCCCGUUUAUGCUGGCUAGACUUACCUUGUCCUAUACGAGAUGUUUUUGAAGAGUCGGGUUGUUUGGGAAUGCAGCCCAAAAUGGGAGGUAAAUUUCUCCUAAAGCUAAAUAUCAGUGAGAGACCGAUAGCAAACAAGUACCGUGAGGGAAAGGUGAAAAGAACUUUGAAAAGAAAGUUAAAAGUACGUGAAAUCGUUAAAAGGGAAACGUUCCCAGGCAUCAUAACUUGGCCAGAAAUCAGCCAAAGGGUGUUUUCACUCUCUGGUGCACUUUCUGGCGUAUUAAGUGCGUCAACAUCAGUGCUACAGGGUAGGAUACGGGUUGUUUGGAAUGUGGCCUAGUACUUCGGUGCUAGGUGUUAUAGCCAUUCAAUUUCUACUAUUCUUGGUACUGAGGUGUUUUGCAGUGGAGGCCAUUUGGCAAGCACUUGACAAGGCUGUUCACCUGCCUUCAUUACUGUUGUCUUUGUUAUUUUCCAUUACGGGGAGUAGGAAAGCGGCUUUAAUGCUAGGUAGAACGAAGGCCCAAGUGUCACUCUACUAAGGAUGUUGACUAGAUGACUUUGAACGACCCGUCUUGAAACACGGACCAAGGAGUCUACCACACAUGCGAGUGUUUGGGUGUCAAACCCCUACGCGAAAUGAAAGUGAUUUUUGAUGGGAUCCCUUUACUGGGCGCACCAUCACCCGAUCCUAGCUCAUUCAGUGGCUGGAUUUGAGGCGGAGCAUGUCUGAUAGGACCCGAAAGAUGGUGAUCUAUGCCUGAAUAGGGUGAAGCCAGAGGAAACUCUGGUGGAGGCUCGUAGCGAUUCUGACGUGCAAAUCGAUCGUCAAAUUUGGGCAUAGGGGCGAAAGACUAAUCGAACCAUCUAGUAGCUGGUUCCCUC